AUUGAACGCUGGCGGCAUGCUUUACACAUGCAAGUCGAACGGUAACAGGGUGCUUGCACCGCUGACGAGUGGCGAACGGGUGAGUAAUGCGUCGGAACGUGCCGAGUAGUGGGGGAUAACGCAGCGAAAGUUGUGCUAAUACCGCAUACGUACUGAGGUAGAAAGUGGGGGACCUUCGGGCCUCACGCUAUUCGAGCGGCCGACGUCUGAUUAGCUAGUAGGUGAGGUAAAGGCUCACCUAGGCGACGAUCAGUAGCGGGUCUGAGAGGAUGAUCCGCCACACUGGGACUGAGACACGGCCCAGACUCCUACGGGAGGCAGCAGUGGGGAAUUUUGGACAAUGGGCGAAAGCCUGGUCCAGCCAUGCCGCGUGUCUGAAGAAGGCCUUCGGGUUGUAAAGGACUUUUGUCAGGGAGGAAAUCCCUAGUGCUAAUAACACUGGGGGAUGACAGUACCUGAAGAAUUAGCACCGGCUAACUACGUGCCAGCAGCCGCGGUAA
rnacentral:rRNA from 1 species